rnacentral:rRNA from 1 species
CGCGGCCUAUCAGCUUGUUGGUGAGGUAACGGCUCACCAAGGCAUCGACGGGUAGCUGGUCUGAGAGGACGAUCAGCCACACUGGGACUGAGACACGGCCCAGACUCCUACGGGGGGCAGCAGUAGGGAAUCUUGCGCAAUGGGCGAAAGCCUGACGCAGCAACGCCGCGUGGGGGAUGAAUGCCUUCGGGUUGUAAACCCCUUUCAGCAGGGACGAAAAUGACGGUACCUGCAGAAGAAGCUCCGGCCAACUACGUGUCAGCAGCCGCGGUAAUACGUAGGGAGCGAGCGUUGUCCGGAAUUAUUGGGCGUAAAGAGCUCGUAGGCGGUUCAGUAAGUCGGGUGUGAAAACUCUGGGCUCAACCCAGAGACGCCACUCGAUACUGCUGUGACUUGAGUCCGGUAGAGGAGUGUGGAAUUCCUGGUGUAGCGGUGAAAUGCGCAGAUAUCAGGAGGAACACCAGCGGCGAAGGCGGCACUCUGGGCCGGUACUGACGCUGAGGAGCGAAAGCAUGGGGAGCAAACAGGAUUAGAUACCCUGGUAGUCCAUGCCGUAAACGUUGGGCACUAGGUAUGGGAUCAUAUCAACGGAUUCCGUGCCGUAGCUAACGCAUUAAGUGCCCCGCCUGGGGAGUACGG